UACGUAGGUGGCGAGAGUUGUCCGGAUUUACUGGGCGUAAAGGGAGCGUAGGCGGACUUUUAAGUGAGAUGUGAAAUACCCGGGCUCAACUUGGGUGCUGCAUUUCAAACUGGAAGUCUAGAGUGCAGGAGAGGAGAAUGGAAUUCCUAGUGUAGCGGUGAAAUGCGUAGAGAUUAGGAAGAACACCAGUGGCGAAGGCGAUUCUCUGGACUGUAACUGACACUGAGGCACGAAAGCGUGGGGAGCAAACAGGAUUAGAUACCCCU
rnacentral:rRNA from 1 species